rnacentral:tRNA from 1 species
GAGGGCAUGGCUCAAAUGGUAGAGCACAUGCUUACCAUGCACAAGGUCCUGGGUUCAAUCCCCAGCACCCCUU